rnacentral:rRNA from 1 species
UACGUAGGUGGCAAGCGUUGUCCGGAUUUAUUGGGUGUAAAGGGAGCGUAGACGGCGAUGCAAGUCUGAAGUGAAAGGCGGGGGCCCAACCCCUGGACUGCUUUGGAAACUGUAUGGCUGGAGUGCAGGAGAGGUAAGUGGAAUUCCUAGUGUAGCGGUGAAAUGCGUAGAUAUUAGGAGGAACACCAGUGGCGGAGGCGGCUUACUGGACUGUAACUGACGUUGAGGCUCGAAAGCGUGGGGAGCAAACA